UACGAAGGGGGCUAGCGUUGCUCGGAAUUACUGGGCGUAAAGCGCACGUAGGCGGAUUGUUAAGUCGGGGGUGAAAUCCUGGAGCUCGACUCCAGAACUGCCUUCGAUACUGGCGAUCUCGAGUUCGGGAGAGGUGAGUGGAACUGCGAGUGUAGAGGUGAAAUUCGUAGAUAUUCGCAAGAACACCAGUGGCGAAGGCGGCUCACUGGCCCGAUACUGACGCUGAGGUGCGAAAGACGUGGGGAGCAAACAGG
rnacentral:rRNA from 1 species